AUAAAUUAAUAUACUGAGCCAACACUGAAGUUUUAUUGUUUCUAAAGGUUAAAUAGGUAGGUGCCAGAGGAGGAAAGUCAAGUAAAGCCUGCUAAGGCAUGCUAUCGGAAAAAUCUGCCCACCUUUUGCGGUGUGGCAAAGCUAGUUAACGGUCGUUUUUUGAAAUUUUUUUUUUGUGUGUGGUAGUGUUUGUAUAAUAGAACAUUUUGGCAGAAAAAUAUAAUUUAAAAUAAUAUUUAGUUUCAAAAUGUCAACCAAGCAAAAUAAAAAAAGAUUUUUGAUUGUGGACAAACACUUAAAAAAUCCAACUUUAUUGAUUAGAAAGUUGGCGAAAUCAUUAAAAAUAUCAAGAAGAACUGUAGAUACUGUUCUUAAACGGUUUACAGAAUAGAAAACUAUUCAGAGAAAACAAGGAAGUGGUCGAAAAAAACGCACAGCAAAUCCUAGAGCUCUCGAACGGUUGGAAGAACAUCCUGAUUGGUCUGAUAGAUUUCGAUCAAAAAAACUGAAGGUUUCCAAUUUUUUGUACACAAAUGGCGACAGAGACUAGGAUAUCAAAGUUUUAAAGUAGUUAAAAUGCCAAAUCGCAACGAUAAAUAAAAUUCAACCGAAAAGAGUCGAGCUCGAAAGUUGCAUGACAACUUGUUAACAAAGCAUAAUGGAUGCAUUUUGAUGGAUGACGAAACUUAUGUUAAAAUGGAUUUUAAACAAAUUCCUGGGCAGUGCUACUAUGCUUUUUAAAUAAGAGGAAAUGUGAGUGAUAAAUACAAGUAUGUAAUGAUUGAUAAAUUUUCGAAAAAAUUGAUGAUUUGGCAGUCACUUUGCUCUUGCAGCAAAAAAUCGCCAAUUCAUGUUUGUUUGGGCACAAUGAAAUCUUCGGAACACGUGAAAUGUUUUCUUCCUCGUAUAAAACGACUAAUUAAAGCUCAUAAAAGUACUUCAGUAUUGUUUUGGGCUGAUUUAGCCACAAUACAUUACUCAAAAGAUGCUCAAAAGUUUUACGAUGAUAAUGGAGUGAUGCUGGUUCCGAAAAAGAUGAAUCCUCCAAACUGCCCUGAAUUACGUCCUAUUGAAAAAUAUUGGGCCAUCAUAAAAAAGAAAUUGAAAUUAAGUGGAAAAAAAGUAAAAUCAGCUACAGAUUUGAAGAAAAAAUGGGAUUACGCUGCUAAAACUUACAAAAAUCACUCUGUCCAGAAACUUAUGGGAGGCAUCAAAAAGAAAGUCAGAAUUUUCUGUAAAAUUAAUUUUUUUUUGUUUUUUCCUUAUUAAUACGUAAUUUUUACAGUCUUAGUUUUUCAGAAAUAUAUUGAUUUAAAUACA